CCUACGGGUGACAGCAGUGAGGAAUAUUGGUCAAUGGACGAGAGUCUGAACCAGCCAAGUAGCGUGAAGGAUGACUGCCCUAUGGGUUGUAAACUUCUUUUAUAUGGGAAUAAAAUGUUCCACGUGUGGGAUUUUGUAUGUACCAUAUGAAUAAGGAUCGGCUAAAUCCGUGCCAGCAGCCGCGGUAAUACGGAGGAUCCGAGCGUUAUCCGGAUUUAUUGGGUUUAAAGGGAUCGUAGGUGGAUUGUUAAGUCAGUUGUGAAAGUUUGCGGCUCAACCGUAAAAUUGCAGUUGAAACUGGCAGUCUUGAGUACAGUAGAGGUGGGCGGAAUUCGUGGUGUAGCGGUGAAAUGCUUAGAUAGCACGAAGAACUCCGAUUGCGAAGGCAGUUCACUGGACUGCAACUGACACUGAGGCUCGAAAGUGUGGGUAUCAAACAGGAUUAGAUACCCUGGUAGUC
rnacentral:rRNA from 1 species